GACGAACCGUCCAAACGUUAUUCGGAAUCACUGGGCUUACAGAGUUCGUAGGCGGUUUGGAAAGUUGGGUGUGAAAUCCCUCGGCUCAACCGAGGAACUGCGCUCAAAACUACCCGACUCGAGGGAGAUAGAGGAAAGCGGAACUGAUGGUGGAGCGGUGAAAUGCGUUGAUAUCAUCAGGAACACCGGUGGCGAAGGCGGCUUUCUGGGACGGUACUGACGCUGAGACGCGAAAGCGUGGGGAGCGAACAGG
rnacentral:rRNA from 1 species